AAGGUUGGAGAAUUAUGCAAAGUCCACUCAAUUAGAAUCACGCAGUUGCCUCCAUAAAUUUGAAAAAGCUUAAAGAGGACAUGAAUUUGUGCGAGGAAAGGAUUCGAUUGCGCAAUAGCAGCCUUCGGUACAGAAUAUUACAGACUGCAAAGGAGAAAGAGAUGGAAAAUAGGGAAUUUUGAAAAAGGGAAUAGCUUUUUGAAAUUGGAGAAUAGGCGAUAGAUUAUUCAUGUUUCAACGGUUGACAGAAGCAGAUCGUUCAAAUCAGCCAAUUCGGGGUUAGGAUCUCCCAAAAAUCACACCCGACGGCUAAGAUUGGAAAGUAAAGGCUCCAAGCUAGUACACGUGCGAUUUGAGUUGCGAAGAACUAUGUAGAUUUAUGUGGUUUAGUAUCACCAUAACUGCAAAGCUUAGCAAUCAAGCGAUUGCGUGGGACUGUGUUUUGGCCGGUGGAGAUAUAGACUUCAGUGGUGGUCAUUUGUGUCCCGGGGCCGGGACCGGGACCAGUUCCACGAGAAUUUCUCCUUUAGUU
rnacentral:misc_RNA from 1 species